AAGACAGGAGCCCCUUGUUCAUCGUCCUGGGACACCAGAGCCAACACCUGCUUCGAACCUACCAUGUGCCAGGACCUGGCCCUCUGGCUCAUGCUCCUUAGCUCCGAUUCUUAGCUGUGUGACUUUGGGCCAGCAACUGCACGCCUGGGCCCAUUUCCUCGUCUGGAAUUAGAGAGAACAGCAAUACCUCUGUGCGGAGUUACUGCGAUGAUUAAACAAAGUAAUACACGUCAAGUACUGGGUACACCGCCCACCACAAAUUCUCCCUAAGUGGCAGCUAUUAUGAUCUUCACACCAUGCUGCCAUUUUACAGCGGGGAGUGGAAGCUGGUGGCACAGAAGCCAAUAAGACCAGAGUGGAGAGAAAAAACAAGCUCUGGAGACAGCAGAUUGGGUUCAAGCCCAGCUGUGUGACCUUGAGUCAGCCACCUCUCUGAACCCCAGGUCCAAAAACAAGGAUGGUGCCUUCUUCCCCUAGUGCCCACGUCUGUCUGUGAGGAUUAUGGGACAGGAGCGAUGUGUGAAAGGCCGCAGGGAGAGGGCCUGCCCCGAGGGCCACACGCACCACAGUGCCCGCGAGUACAGGAUCACAGUCCCAGCCCGUGCAGCGGUUCACACGCUAGAGAGCCCUCCUUCACAUCCAUCAUGCGUUGGAGCCUCACUCCAGCGCUUCAGGAUGGACAGGGCUGCGUCUGAUCCACAUUUGACCACUGGACGCAAGAGCUCAGGUGGGGGUGGACUCACAGAGCUCUCUGCUCAGAGGCCACUCAGCCGUGAGAUUCCGGGGGCUGGGAAGCCAGGUGGCUCAGUCGCUGUCUCUUUUCAGAUCAGCCACUCGGGUGUGUAUUCAUUCAACAUGGAUUCCCCGAGCUGCGCCCCGGGAUGCGGCAGUGACUGGGCAGACGCGACGCUGCUCUCGAGGAACUUGGAGCCUGGUGGCCUCAGGCUUCUUCCCACUCCAUUGAUCGCAGGAAGACCCAUGUCUGCUCGUGGUGACAGCUCAGGAAGUGCCCCGCAUGCAGGUUCCGGCUCCGUGCCCACCUGGGGCAGCAAGCAGGUCAGGAACAGAAGAGCUCUCUGCCCUUGGGGAUAAAUCACUAAUAAACCCAGAGGUAGACACGAGGAGCCUAGCAUGAACAUGAAAUCUAAAAUGAAGGAUUCUGUGGCCAGAAGCGUUCAGGAAAAGCCACUCUGAGAGUCAGGCCGCUUUGGCACAUGCUACAGGCUCUCAGGAAAGCCAGGCAGGAAAGACCUGCCUCACCCGAUGCUUCCCACACCUACUUGACCAAGUGAACCUUUACUUCAAGCCACACCUACUCACCUUGGACGAGGCCAGGGCAGUGGAAAGGACAUAGUGCCUAGAGCCAGGGGCCUGGGUUCGAAGCCCAGUCUUAGAUUUGAUUUGCACGUGAUAAACAUUAUAACCCAGAGGAGGGAAGUGACUUGCCCAAGGUCACUCAGCACCAGGCCCAGAGCCCAGGCCUUCGAGUUAUUGUUAACGUGAGAGGCGUCCUGUGCUUCCCUCUGAGAGGCAUAGCCUGACCCCCUUGCUGGGGGGGGGGGUUAGUUCGGGUCUCCUAGCCACACAGGGCCUUUGAGCACAUUACAAAAGGCACCUCCUUCUCAGGGGUCAACACAUCCCUUGUCAGGGCACGUGAGUUGGUAAAGCGUUCUGUGGGCUGGAUUUCAGCCCCCAGUUGU